GAGGCUGGUAGCCCGGGUCCUCCCAAGCCCCGCCCACUGCGCAGGCUCCGCCCUCCCCCGUAAGAACACGCCUCCCACUCCCGCCUUCGGCUGGUGCCUCCUGCUGGCCCCAACCACCCACGUGGUCCGAGCCCGGCCCUGCCGGCAGGGGACCUUAAGGAUUGUGUACGCAUUUUGGCUUGCAAGGUGUUUAAUUGUUGCCGGGCGGGACUUACUGCAAGCUGUCAAGUCUGGGGUCGUAUUUUGUUGAGUCGAAAGUGAAAUUUUCCUUCGGCCGACGUGACAGGGCUUUGUUUGAUGGAAAAAAGGGUACUUGAGCCCCCUCAUUCCAUUGCCACGGGAGGGCGCAUUUCUCAGCUUUUGCUCUUCCAACCUGCCAAAAGGAAUUCCUGGAUCUAAACACCAGGUCCUUGUUCACCCUCUACCAGCUCUAAAGGACACUGCCAGUGCUCAGAUGUGAACUGUCAUAGGUGACUGUAGAAAACAUUUCCAGCGUCCCUCGGGACCUGCUCCACAUGCGCCCCCCCCUUGUUUCCUGGCCAGCCUGCCCCCACUUUCACUCUUUCCUGGGAGACCCCUCUCCCCAGGCCCAGUGUGGGUGGGAAUUGCUCUCAGGCCGUCCUGCUCUGCACAAGCCUUUUGUUUUCUAAAUAAGCUUUACAGCUAAUCCCUGCCGGGGAACUGACUGGAAACAAGCCUAGGAAAAUCUGUAUGAAAUUACAAAAGUGACUUAAUUUGGCUCUAGUCCAUAAUCUUGACUUCCAUUGAAAUGGUAAACUAGAGCCUCCUUGAGGCUCUGCCUCUGUGCUUUUGCUUUUGAGAAUAAAAUAGGUCUCGCUUUCUCUUGAUGGGCUUCUACCUCCUAGGGAGCCCGAAGGUGCAGCUCAGGCUGGUGUGGGUGUUCUGUUUCCUCCGGCGGGCAAUUUGCAUCUUUGAGGAACUGCAGGUGGGGACCUCGGGCAGUUAAACGUACCUUCCUCUCUGUGGGGAUUAUCCCUUCUGGGCAAAUCCUCCCUCAAUCGGGCACUGAGUUUAGGAAAUCUCAGGGCAGGGCUAGAGAUUAAAAAUAAAAAAUAAACAAUAAAAAUUCUUAGAAAAAUUACAGAGGGCAUUUAGCCUAAGAACCAAAGUGUAUUUAUCAAGAGAAGCAUUUCCUCUGUGAUAGACAAGAGACAUUGCCAUAAAAUGAAAUUAUAUUUAGGUUAAAAUAGAUCUUCUAAUCCAUCUCAUAAUAAAAAAAUGAAAUGACCUUGAAAACAUGUUGUGAGUCAAAUGGAUAGUGAAAAUGGGGAAGGAAUUAUGAAUGCAACGUAAGAUAUUAGGCCAGCUGCCUAGGAAAUUAAAGGCACACCUUGCCUUCUGUCUUUCUCCUGCUCCUUCCUUUGUUCUUACUGGAGCCUGUAUGAUAUUUUUAAGAAGGAAACCACUUCUGGUGUCUCUCUUGGCUAACGUAAGUCAGUACUUCCCCAUUGCCUUCAGAUAAAAUGUUUGACUUAUAAAAGUCCUUGAGGCUUCCAAUUUGCCCUAUCGUUACCCCAGCUUCCUAAACUCCAGCUUCAGUAAAUAACUUUCAGUUCCUAAGUGCUCUUACUUCCAGGAAUUUGCCCCUGCUUACCCUCUACCUAGACCACUUCCCAUCCACAAAGCUGUUCUCUCUCAGUUUCAGGGCCCCACCCCCCAGGAUCUGCUUCUCUUACAGAUUCUAUCCCGCUGUGUUAAACUUCCCUGUUGCAUGUCCAGUCCAGCAGAACUCUGGUCUACAGAAGGUCAAGAACCCAGCUUUGUCUGUUUCACAGGCCUUCAUCCAGGUUAGUGUUUGACUCGUGUGUGAAAGUCGCUCAGUCGUGUCCAGCUCUUUGCGAGCCCAUGGACUGUACAGUCCAUGGAACUCUCCAGGCC